rnacentral:tRNA from 1 species
GGUCUAAUAGUUUAAAAGAAAACUUUAAAUUGCAAAUUUAAAAAUGAUUUAUUUAGUAUAAUCUAAGACUU